GCACAAGCGGUGGAUGAUGUGGUUUAAUUCGAUGCAACGCGAAAACCUUACCCACCUUUGACAUGUACGGAAUCCUUUAGAGAUAGAGGAGUGCUCGAAAGAGAGCCGUAACACAGGUGCUGCAUGGCUGUCGUCAGCUCGUGUCGUGAGAUGUUGGGUUAAGUCCCGCAACGAGCGCAACCCUUGUCAUUAGUUGCUACAUUCAGUUGGGCACUCUAAUGAGACUGCCGGUGACAAACCGGAGGAAGGUGGGGAUGACGUCAAGUCCUCAUGGCCCUUAUAGGUGGGGCUACACACGUCAUACAAUGGAUGGUACAAAGGGUCGCCAACCCGCGAGGGGGAGCCAAUCCCAUAAAGCCAUUCGUAGUCCGGAUCGCAGUCUGCAACUCGACUGCGUGAAGUCGGAAUCGCUAGUAAUCGCGGAUCAGCAUGUCGCGGUGAAUACGUUCCCGGGUCUU
rnacentral:rRNA from 1 species